rnacentral:tRNA from 1 species
GGGCAGUUAGCUCAGCUGGUACGAGCGCCUGGUUUACACCCAGAUGGUCGGGAGUUCGAUCCUCUCACUGCCCA